UGUUUGUAUUUAUUUUCGCAUGCAAUAUAUGUCUGAGUUCACCGCGGACUUCUCCGUCUUCAUCUUCACGAGACCCCUCUAAGCCUCGAAUCCUCCAAGCGAGUCGAGCUCAUCUACAAUCAACAGAAGGAUAUAAAAGUUUUAAAGUAUUGAAUAAAGCUUAAGAAGUGGGGAUCGGAAGACUCAAUUUCCCCUUUUUGAUGUUGGAUUUUAUUUGUAAUGGGCCUAAGACCUUGUCCUUCUUUUCUCCUUAUUUUCCAUAUUAUUUGUAUUUAUUAUUUAGUCUCGGACAGUUACAACAGAAAAUGGGUCAAGAGCCAAAAGACA
rnacentral:misc_RNA from 1 species